UCCUGGCGCCUCUCCCCCCUCUCUCUCUCCGUUCGUCCUCCACCACUCGUUCACAAGGCAGCGGCGUCCAUGGUGCGGGCAAGCAGGUGGAAGAAGACAUGGUCCAACUCCGCGGCUCGCCGGCCAGAGCGGCGUGACCCAGGCGAUGGCGGCGGAGGCGGUGCUUCUCAUGUGGUGCUGGACCACGGCGGAUUGGCAGAUGGCCUCGUCUACAAGCACAAGUGGCGAGAUCUGCCGACCUGUGAGGACGAGUUGAGGCGGACGCAGCUUUUCGAUCUGGGCGACCUCCGGGGAGAGGGGCCGUUGACUGCAGGUUGAGUAUUGAUACUGAAACAUGGCUUUGGUGGUCUUGAGUAAACAAUGGGAACAAUUGUGGAUGAUUUGAUGGCAUGGUGGGUGUGAGAUGGAUUGCCAGAGUUGGAUCUGGAGGUACAGGUCGUUGGAGAGGAGUCCUAGGGAGACUGAGAUCUCCAAUCUGAUGUUGUCGUGCUUGAAAUAAGAAUACAUGGAGUUUCAAUUUCUAAGAAUCAGUACGACAACCAGAUUUUGGAAAGCAACCUUCGAGCUUCUAAACCAAUGAUCGAUUUCGCAAUAUUUAGAUUGCUGCUUCCUAGAAUACCAUGUGCUCCAUGAAGGUAAGAAGAGCUCAUCUCGGAUCAUCGCGGCUCGGAGAUUGUAGGCCAUGAUAGGGGUGGCGUACUUCAGCUGGUGUGGUAGCAGCAAGAUCUUGCUAAUGAGGAGGGGAACAAACUUCUCACCCAAUUUGGCAAUUUGAGUAACUGGAUUAUUGUAUGGAACCUGAUGUAUAUGACUUGUGCUUAAAGAAAAAAGCUCCAAGCUCCUCGACAGGUGGUGAGCGAUGCCGAUAGUGCCAAACUUGGUUUGAAACUACAGGGGAAAACAAACAACUCAAAAGA